UACAGAGGGGGCAAGCGUUGUUCGGAAUUACUGGGCGUAAAGGGCGCGUAGGCGGCCUGUUAAGUCGAACGUGAAAUCCCCGGGCUCAACCCGGGAACUGCGACCGAUACUGGUUGGCUUGAAUUCGGGAGAGGGAUGCGGAAUUCCAGGUGUAGCGGUGAAAUGCGUAGAUAUCUGGAGGAAUACCGGUGGCGAAGGCGGCAUCCUGGACCGGCAUUGACGCUGAGGAGCGAAAGCCAGGGGAGCAAACGGG
rnacentral:rRNA from 1 species